rnacentral:tRNA from 1 species
GUAAGCUAUAUGCAAAUUCGUUCGGGACGAAGAGGCCGUGGGUUCGAGUCCCGUCACCUCGACCA